rnacentral:lncRNA from 1 species
GCCAGUGGAGAUGCUGCCUACUGCAGUGUGGAGAAUGGAUUGGAGGGGUCAGAAUGAAUGUAGAGAGAAUUCAAAGGCUCCUGCAGGAGUCCAAGCAAGAGGAUUGCAGAUUGUAGCCUGGAAGAGGCCAGUAGCUGUGGUGACAAUGGACACCAGGUGGAUAUGUUGGAGAGACACUUAGAAGGGUCUCACUCUGUCACCCAGACUGGAGUACACUGGUGUGAUCUCGGCUCACUGCAACCUCCGCCUCCCAGGCUCAAGUGAUUCUCCUGCCUCAGCCUCUCGAGUAGCUGGAAUUACAAGCAUGUGCCACUACCACCCUGCUAAUUUUUGUAUUUUUAGUAGAGAUGCGGUUUCACCAUGUUGGCCAGGCUGGCCUUGAACUCAUGACCUUAAAUGAUCCACCCGCCUCAGCCUCCCAAGUGCUGGGAUUUUAGGUGUGAGCCACUCGCCUGGCAGGUGAUUAUUUAAAAGCAGAAGUAGUAUAAUCAUAUUUUUUUGUAAAUAGCUUUUUAAAAAUGGAUGGGAAAUAAUAUUUGGAAGUGGAGUUGUUGAACUACCUCUGUGAACAGCAUACUCUCUCUAAUUGUUCAUUGGGUUGAGGGUGGUGAGAGGGAAGAAAUUGCAAAAGUUGCUUUGCUAGUGUUUAUUAGCACGUUGUGCACGUGUAUCCUAAAACUUAAAGUAUAAUAAUAAUAAAAUUUUAAAAAAAGGUUUUAAAAAAAAAGAAAAUUUCAGCUUAAUCCAUUGCCUGUAUGUUACAUGCGUUUCAUUUACCUUUGCUGUACUGUAUAUAUUGUGUAUAUACUGAACAAAUGAGUCCUAAUUUUAUAAUAUUUAGUCGAGUCUCUAGAGAGUAAAAAGGUUGCCAAUGUAUGACAGAAAGAGUUAGUAAACUAGCAUAAGUUGUAUGCUUUGUUAAAAUUCACAGAAAGACUGUCUUCUGAAAAGGACUUUUGGGAGUGAAAUAACAUCAGCUCUAAGUGACUCAUGUGCCUAUAUCCACCUGGUUGGUGGUGAAGAGGAGUUGAAAGGAAUGAAGGAUUCUAGGACAGAAGGUUCCUAUUGAGAAGACACUUUCGGCUAUAACCACUGUUACGUGUGUGUAAUUUAUUCAACACUACUGUGUAUAUAACGGACAAACAAAUCAUAUUUAAAACAUCAUCUAGUCUUUUUAGAUGUUUAGAAGUGCACAAAGUAUGUUAAAAGUAGAGGUAAAUAACACAUUUUGUAGAUAUCCUUUUGAUGUGAAAUAUUGUCUUUUGGAAAUUGAGCAAACCAAUUCCCUGAGCCGUACACAUUAUUAUAUCUGUGUCAGUUUGGGGAGGAAGGAGGAGCAGAAAGUACAAAGGGCUUUUCACCAGUGUGUUUAUGGUGAGGCACAUUGACUAUUAUCUUUUUUUUUUUUUUUUUGAGACGACGUCUCGCUCUGUCACCAAGCUGGGGUGCAGUGGCGCAAUCUUGGCUCUCUGCAACCUCUGCCUCCUGUAUUCAAGCGAUUCUCCUGCCUCAGCCUCCAGAGUACCUGGGACUACAGGUGUGCACCACCACACCCAGCUAAUUUUUGUAUUUUUAGUAGAGAAGGAGUUUCACCAUGUUUGCCAGGAUGGUCUUGAUCUAAGUCUGCAUUUUCUUUGUGCUGUGUAGAUAGCGUACAUAAGAGGACAAACCAAUCCUAAUCUAUAUCAUCUAGUCUUUGUAGAUGUUAGAGAGGUCCAGUGCGUGACAAAAGUAGAUUUAGUGAAUUAAAACACUGAGUACGUUUUGUGUUAAAAUUCAUAGGGAAGACUGUUGUUAAAAACAUAGAAGUGUGAGCCACCGCACCUGGCCAAUAGUGGGUAUUAAAAGAUAAACAAGUCUUAAUGCUCAAAGUAUGUUAAAAAUAGAUGUAGUAAAACAAUCCGUCUACAAAUGUUCUUUUGUUAUAUUUUAGGAGGCCUGUCUUCUGGGAGUGACCUUUGUUAUUCCACCUCUUGGAGCUAGGCAUAGUCCUAUACCUAGUCACUGGGAUGGUGGAAGAGGGAGAAAAGGAAGGAUGAAGGAAAGAGCUAUUUGCUAGUAUCUCCACAUCUAGAAGAUGGUUUUAGAUGAUAACCAUAGGUCUACAUGAGCAUUUUUAGUAAAGUGCUUGUGUGUAAUUCUGGACAAAGUUUAUUAUUUUGCACUAUCUAAGCUUUAUGAAUGUCCUGGGGUGAUAAUGUGUGAUAAAAAGUAGAACUAGUGAAUUAGCCAAUUUGUAAAUUUUUUCUUGUUAUAAUUUAUAGAAAAGAUGCAACUUGGACAUGGAACUGUUAAACCAUCUCUGAGCUUUGUAUGCCAGGACUUGUUCAUUAGGUUGGCAGCAGAGCAGCAAAAGGAAGUAUAAAGAGAGAGAUGUAUGCAGAUGUGUCGAUAUUUACAUUUUGAUGAUAGCCAUUGUUGUAUGUGCAUCUCUUUUAGCUGUACUAUAGGAAUACAUUAGGUAUUUCAAUGAAAACAUACCUUGCUAAUAUUUGAAUAGUAUAGAUCUGCUAAUGGAUUCUCUUAGAAACAUUAUACUUAGUGUAUUCUAUUGCUGUAUAUUUCAUUUUAAAGUGAGCACUAAAGGAAUGCGGUAUUUUAAUAAAAACUCUGCCAACGCUUUUACUUAGAGGCGUGUUGCCAAUUUUUGUCUUUUAUGAAAAUUUGGCCCAAGAAAGGCAGGAUUACAUUGUUUUUCCAACAGAUUGAGUGGGUGUAGUGUAUUCUUGAUGAUCAAAAUACUCAUAUAGCUUUGAGAUUUUGAAUUGGUAAAUACUCAAGAUGUGUGAAAAAGCAUGAUACAUACUAUAUGAUCUCAGUCCCAUAAAAUUGACUAUUGUAUCUACACCCACACAGGACCUAGAAGGACAUGUUAAACUGUAAACUGCUUGUGAUUGUGGAUGACCUUUUUCGUUGCUUCUUGUGUUUUUCAGUUUCCUAUAAUGCACAUAGUAACUUAAAAAAAUAAAGAUUAUUUUUGAAACCUAAAAAAAAGAGGUUACAGAAUUGAAUACUCCCUGAGAUAAGGUAAAAUCAUCUUAUGCUAACGGUUGCAAGAUAAUGGUAUAAGUAAGCUUUCGUCGUACAUAUCAAUGAACUUUAAGAUUUGGAAGACAAAAUUCAGUUUAUGUAUUCAAUUAAAUGUGCUCAGAUUGUAUUGUGCUAGAUAGGCACAUUAUUCUAACAUAAUAUGAAUGAAUCAAUAAAAUCCUUAUAAUACUGAUG